GAUGAACGCUAGCUACAGGCUUAACACAUGCAAGUCGAGGGGUAACGAGAGGAAAGCUUGCUUUCCUUGUCGACGACCGGCGCACGGGUGAGUAACGCGUAUCCAACCUGCCCCCAACUAAGGAAUAACCUUGCGAAAGUAAGACUAAUACCUUAUAAUUUCCUCAGAUGACAUCUGACGAGGAAUAAAGAUUUAUCGGUUGUGGAUGGGGAUGCGUCUGAUUAGCUGGUUGGCGGGGUAAAGGCCAACCAAGGAAACGAUCAGUAGGGGUUCUGAGAGGAAGGUCCCCCACAUUGGAACUGAGACACGGUCCAAACUCCUACGGGAGGCAGCAGUGAGGAAUAUUGGUCAAUGGGCGAAAGCCUGAACCAGCCAAGUAGCGUGCAGGAUGAUGGCCCUAUGGGUUGUAAACUGCUUUUAUACAGGAAUAAAGUUAGCCACGUGUGGUUAUUUGUAGGUACUGUAUGAAUAAGGACCGGCUAAUUCCGUGCCAGCAGCCGCCGUAA
rnacentral:rRNA from 1 species